rnacentral:rRNA from 1 species
AUUGAACGCUGGCGGCAUGCCUUACACAUGCAAGUCGAACGGCAGCACGGGGCAACCUGGUGGCGAGUGGCGAACGGGUGAGUAAUGCAUCGGAACGCACCUUUCAGUGGGGGAUAACGUAGCGAAAGUUACGCUAAUACCGCAUAUUCUGUGAGCAGGAAAGCAGGGGAUCGCAAGACCUUGCGCUGAUUGAGCGGCCGAUGUCAGAUUAGCCAGUUGGUGAGGUAAAGGCUCACCAAGGCGACGAUCUGUAGCGGGUCUGAGAGGAUGAUCCGCCACACUGGAACUGAGACACGGUCCAGACUCCUACGGGAGGCAGCAGUGGGGAAUUUUGGACAAUGGGGGCAACCCUGAUCCAGCCAUGCCGCGUGAGUGAAGAGGGCCUUCGGGUUGUAAAGCUCUUUCGGCCGGGAAGAAAUCGCACGGGCUAAUACCCUGUGUGGAUGACGGUACCGGAAUAAGAAGCACCGGCUAACUACGUGCCAGCAGCCGCCGUAA